AUACUUACCUGGGAGGGGAGAUGCCAUGAUCACAAAGGUGGUUUUCCCAGAGCAAGGCUCACCCAUUGCACUCUGAGUGUGCUGACCCCUGCCAUUUCCCAAAUGUGGGAAACCCAACUGCAUGAUUUGUGGUAGUGAGGGACUGUGUUUGCGCUCUCCCUGU
ensembl:snRNA U1 U1 spliceosomal RNA